rnacentral:rRNA from 1 species
AAAUUGAAGAGUUUGAUCAUGGCUCAGAUUGAACGCUGGCGGCAGGCCUAACACAUGCAAGUCGAGCGGUAGCACAGAGAGCUUGCUCUCGGGUGACGAGCGGCGGACGGGUGAGUAAUGUCUGGGAAACUGCCUGAUGGAGGGGGAUAACUACUGGAAACGGUAGCUAAUACCGCAUAAUGUCGCAAGACCAAAGUGGGGGACCUUCGGGCCUCAUGCCAUCAGAUGUGCCCAGAUGGGAUUAGCUAGUAGGUGGGGUAACGGCUCACCUAGGCGACGAUCCCUAGCUGGUCUGAGAGGAUGACCAGCCACACUGGAACUGAGACACGGUCCAGACUCCUACGGGAGGCAGCAGUGGGGAAUAUUGCACAAUGGGCGCAAGCCUGAUGCAGCCAUGCCGCGUGUGUGAAGAAGGCCUUCGGGUUGUAAAGCACUUUCAGCGGGGAGGAAGGCGGUGAGGUUAAUAACCUCAUCGAUUGACGUUACCCGCAGAAGAAGCACCGGCUAACUCCGUGCCAGCAGCCGCGGUAAUACGGAGGGUGCAAGCGUUAAUCGGAAUUACUGGGCGUAAAGCGCACGCAGGCGGUCUGUCAAGUCGGAUGUGAAAUCCCCGGGCUCAACCUGGGAACUGCAUUCGAAACUGGCAGGCUAGAGUCUUGUAGAGGGGGGUAGAAUUCCAGGUGUAGCGGUGAAAUGCGUAGAGAUCUGGAGGAAUACCGGUGGCGAAGGCGGCCCCCUGGACAAAGACUGACGCUCAGGUGCGAAAGCGUGGGGAGCAAACAGGAUUAGAUACCCUGGUAGUCCACGCCGUAAACGAUGUCGAUUUGGAGGUUGUGCCCUUGAGGCGUGGCUUCCGGAGCUAACGCGUUAAAUCGACCGCCUGGGGAGUACGGCCGCAAGGUUAAAACUCAAAUGAAUUGACGGGGGCCCGCACAAGCGGUGGAGCAUGUGGUUUAAUUCGAUGCAACGCGAAGAACCUUACCUGGUCUUGACAUCCACAGAACUUUCCAGAGAUGGAUUGGUGCCUUCGGGAACUGUGAGACAGGUGCUGCAUGGCUGUCGUCAGCUCGUGUUGUGAAAUGUUGGGUUAAGUCCCGCAACGAGCGCAACCCUUAUCCUUUGUUGCCAGCGGU